UCCCUGGGGGUCCAGUGGCGAAGACUCCACAGUCCCAAUGCAAGUGUCCCAGGUUCAAUUCCUGGCCAGGGAA
rfam:Ovis aries breed Texel chromosome 6, whole genome shotgun sequence.